CCUCUCAUGGCGUAGUGGUUAACGCGCCCCAACUAGAGAUCGGGGAGUCGUGAGUUCGAUUCACACUGAGAAGA
rnacentral:tRNA from 1 species